UGGAGCAUGUGGUUUAAUUCGACGCAACGCGAAGAACUUACCUGGGCUUGACAUCCUUUGACAGUCCUGGAAACAGGAUUUUCCCGACUCUGUCGGGGACAGAGUGACAGGUGCUGCAUGGCUGUCGUCAGCUCGUGUCGUGAGAUGUUGGGUUAAGUCCCGCAACGAGCGCAACCCUUGUCUUUAGUUGCCCAUAUUAAGUUAGGCACUCUAAAGAGACUGCCUCGGUUAACGGGAGGAAGUGGGGAUGACGUCAAGUCCUCAUGGCCUUUAUGCCCAGGGCUACACACGUGCUACAAUGGGCGGUACAAUGGGCUGCAACGCCGCGAGGCGAAGCCAAUCCCAAAAAGCCGUUCUCAGUUCGGAUUGGAGUCUGCAACUCGACUCCAUGAAGUCGGAAUCGCUAGUAAUCGUGGAUCAGCAUGCCACGGUGAAUACGUUCCCGGGCCUU
rnacentral:rRNA from 1 species